AGGCAGUAUCUCAAACCCACUGUCAGUUGCAAACAUUCGUAAAUAAAUAAAUACAUGUUCUUUGAACAACCUUUCCUGCAUUUUGUUCUUGUUAAGAAAAUAGUGCCGGGCCCAGUCACCUGACGUCAAGGACUUGAAGGCUUUUUCUAAGUGCUCAUCUUUCUUAAAACGUUCAAUCACCUCUUUUAGUUCUUCUUGCCUUCCUUUUAUAGGUCGAAAUCUAGUAUUCAUUUUGUGUGUCUGAAAACCUAAGUAAGGAUCAAGAACCAAACUAGUUGCUAGGUCAUCGUUUUCACACAGUUCCUUGGCAGACAUUCCAGAGGAAGGCACAUAACGACUCUGACCCUCAAAUCCUGAAGCACCACUACAUCUGCUUGAUCUUCUCUCAACUCCAUUUUUGCCAGACCUGGGAUUCUCCUUUCCUGUGUGCUGCAAUUUGGUUUGAUUCUGCACGUGGUCGUUAGAUGCCCUGCUUCCACUCCUCCUGCCAUUCACCACCAUGUUCUUGGAUUCUCCCAACCACUUCAUGCCCACAGACAACCUGACCCAGUUGCAUUUAGUCACUUUUCAAAAGGCUUGGAGAAGUGGAUGAAUAAUUUCUGCUCCAAUACCUACUGGAAGCAAAACAUACACAUCAUUAGAACUUACAAGGAAAUCUGUUUCCAAGACAAAGCUUUAACACAUACAC
rnacentral:lncRNA from 1 species